rnacentral:rRNA from 1 species
GACGAACGCUGGCGGCGUGCUUAACACAUGCAAGUCGAGCGGUAAGGCCCUUUCGGGGGUACACGAGCGGCGAACGGGUGAGUAACACGUGGGUGACCUGCCCUCAGCUCUGGGAUAAGCCUGGGAAACUGGGUCUAAUACUGGAUAUGACUCCACGGUGCAUGUCGUGGGGUGGAAAGCCUUGUGCGGCUGAGGAUGGGCCCGCGGCCUAUCAGCUUGUUGGUGGGGUGAUGGCCUACCAAGGCGACGACGGGUAGCCGGCCUGAGAGGGCGACCGGCCACCCUGGGACUGAGACACGGCCCAGACUCCUACGGGAGGCAGCAGUGGGGAAUCUUGCGCAAUGGGCGAAAGCCUGACGCAGUGACG